UGAAACCUUGUGUCGCUAGCCAUUUCCUCUAGGAGAGCUCCCCAAACUUGGUAACUGAUGAUUGGGGGUAUAAAUCUUUUACAUUGCCAGUUUUGCCAACUAUUUAGGUGGGUGGUCUUUAAAUUGUACAAUGUGUGAAAUGCCGUGGUUAUGCUUUUGGUUCUGUCUGAUCUAUACUGAAAGUACUUUUGGAGUGAUAUAGUCAGAGGAGAUUCAUGAUUUUUCUCUGCCGGAACAUACAAAAUUCAAUGGCCUGUUGAGCCAUGAACACAAGCUUCUAAUAUGCACAGUUUCUCUAGGUAUUAAGUUCCAUUUUCUUGCCUUAUUGUAAUUAGACCUUCCUCGUUGUUUGUCUCUGCCUCCUAAGCUUAUAUUGCUCUUUUUUUAUGUAUAUAUAUGUUUGUUGUUGUUGAGGAAGGUUUUGUGGGGAAAUUAUAUGCUAGCUUGUAAGUGAGCACAACAUCUGCUUAAAUGCACCUGUAGUUUGAUCAACUUGAAUCUGUAAAUUUAUCAAGAAAGAAUGCAUUUUCAGUUGGCUGUGUUGAAUGCACAGGUUUUAUCUAGCUACCACAUAAAAGUCCUCUGCUAACCCUACCAUAUCUUGAACUGCAUCCUGCUAGAGUUCAUAGUCUAUGAGACUCUUGGAGCUGCAGGGCGGAAAUGUAGAUGCUUAUUGUGAACUAACAGUCCCUUCUCAAUUGCAUGUGCUGGGUUCUGUGUAUACAUAUGCUACCAGUCAGGGCUUAAGUGGAUAAAGUAGCUUCAUAGAAAGGAGUUAGACAUCCAUAUUUUAGCGGAUAUUUUUCUCUUGUUGUACAUUGUUCAAUUGAACUUUCUUGAACUAGUUUACGAUGUUGUUAGCCCAGAAACCUACCAGUUAAAAAGCAUGAUAGAUCCAUCAAUUGGACAUGCUAAAUACAACACUUUUGGUCCUUUCCUAUGUUGAAAUUCGGUUAAUGAGUUUCCAUUAUUCUUAUCUGUUCAGGAUGAACAAGAUAAGUUGCGAAGCCCCCCUUAAAACACGGGCGCUGAGUUGGUUUUUUAACUUCAUCACCAUAGCGUUCAAAGUGAUCUUGAUGACAUGAUAUGUAUUCUAUCCUCCACAUAUCCAUGCACAACCGAGCAAGAACAGCCAAUGGUCGAAAUGGCAGCGCUAAUUCUGGACAGAGAAGCGCCGCAUGUUUUUAUCAUGUUUUCUAAGGGAAUGCCUCUUUUUUUUCUGCUAAUACCUGUGCAAAUUAAGGGCCUCCCUGUAUCAUGCGCGUGCUAUUCACGGCGCAGAGAUGGAGAUGCUGUGGUAAUAUGUGGUGGUCGGCAAGGAGAAACAGGCGUACUGCAAGCAGCUGCAGGAUCUUCCAGCAGAUUAAUCUGUAGGCAAAUAAUUCCCAUGGCCAAAGGGGCCAAGCCUCCUGUUGCUCCUCCAUCCAUCAUUUGGUGAGCAAUUUCUCCUGUUGAACAACAGGGUUACCUCACACGUUCACCGUUGUCAUUCAGCACAGCUUUUUCUUGA